rnacentral:ncRNA from 1 species
UUAAAGAUGUUGAACAGGAAAAGUAUUUAAACCAAGUUACUUACAGAGAGUGAAGAAUGGUGAAAAUUCACAGAAAAAGUUUAAAGAAAAUCCCCUGGGAGUUAAAAAGCAGAAUAAGUUUUAGUGCUUUAGUAAGUUUUUUCGUUAUCCUGCGUUAAAGGAUAGAGUAUGAUUGUGCUUAAAAUUUUUACCCAUAGGUGGUAUAACGAAUAUAAACUUCGUCCUAUUU